rnacentral:rRNA from 1 species
ACGGAAGGCAGCAGUGGGGAAUAUUGCACAAUGGGGGAAACCCUGAUGCAGCGACGCCGCGUGAGCGAAGAAGUAUUUCGGUAUGUAAAGCUCUAUCAGCAGGGAAGAAAAUGACGGUACCUGACUAAGAAGCCCCGGCUAACUACGUGCCAGCAGCCGCGGUAAUACGUAGGGGGCAAGCGUUAUCCGGAUUUACUGGGUGUAAAGGGAGCGUAGACGGCAAGGUAAGUCUGAAGUGAAAUGCCGGGGCUCAACCCCGGAACUGCUUUGGAAACUAUCUCGCUCGAGUACCGGAGGGGUAAGCGGAAUUCCUAGUGUAGCGGUGAAAUGCGUAGAUAUUAGGAAGAACACCAGUGGCGAAGGCGAUCUACUGGACAGUAACUGACGCUGAGGCGCGAAAGCGUGGGGAGCAAACAGGAUUAGAUACCCUGGUA